rfam:Vanderwaltozyma polyspora DSM 70294 KpolScaffold1033 genomic scaffold, whole genome shotgun sequence.
GCGGAUUUAGCUCAGUUGGGAGAGCGCCAGACUGAAGAAUUAACUUCGGUCAAAUCAUCUGUUAUCUGGAGGUCCUGUGUUCGAUCCACAGAAUUCGCA